rnacentral:rRNA from 1 species
AAUAUUUGACAAUGGGCGAAAGCCUGUUCCAGCCAUCCCGCGUGUCCGAAGAAGGCCUUCGGGUUNUAAAGCACUUUUGGCAGGGANGAAAAGGCCCUGGUUAAUACCUGGAGCUGCUGACGGUACCUGCAUAAUAAGUACCGGCUAACUACGUGCUAGCAGCCGCGGUAAUACGUAGGGUGCAAGCGUUAAUCGGAAUUACUGGGCGUAAAGCGUGCGCAGGCGGUUCGGCAAGACGGAUGUGAAAUCCCAGGGCUUAACCUUGGAACUGCAUUCUUAACUGCCGGGCUAGAGUAUGUCAGAGGGGGGUAGAAUUCCGAGUGUAGCAGUGAAAUGCGUAGAGAUGCGGAGGAAUACCGAUGGCGAAGGCAGCCCCCUGGGAUAAUACUGACGCUCAUGCACGAAAGCGUGGGGAGCAAAC